rnacentral:rRNA from 1 species
UCCUACGGGAGGCAGCAGUGGGGAAUAUUGGACAAUGGGCGCAAGCCUGAUCCAGCAAUGCCGCGUGGGUGAAGAAGGUUUUCGGAUUGUAAAGCCCUUUUGGCGGGGACGAUGAUGACGGUACCCGCAGAAUAAGCUCCGGCUAACUUCGUGCCAGCAGCCGCGGUAAUACGAAGGGGGCUAGCGUUGCUCGGAAUGACUGGGCGUAAAGGGCGCGUAGGCGGCUUGUACAGUCAGGCGUGAAAUUCCUGGGCUCAACCUGGGGACUGCGUCUGAUACGUGCUGGCUUGAGUAUGGAAGAGGGUCGUGGAAUUUCCAGUGUAGAGGUGAAAUUCGUAGAUAUUGGAAAGAACACCGGUGGCGAAGGCGGCGACCUGGUCCAUUACUGACGCUGAGGCGCGAAAGCGUGGGGAGCAAACAGGAUUAGAUACCCUGGUAGUCCACGCUGUAAACGAUGUGUGCUGGAUGUUGGAGUGCUUAGCACUUCAGUGUCGUAGCUAACGCGGUAAGCACACCGCCUGGGGAGUACGGCCGCAAGGUUGAAACUCAAAUGAAUUGACGGGG